rnacentral:rRNA from 1 species
CAGCCGCCGCGGGAAAACAGAGGGUGCGAGCGUUAAUCGGAUUUACUGGGCGUAAAGCGUGCGUAGGCGGCUUUUUAAGUCGGAUGUGAAAUCCCUGAGCUUAACUUAGGAAUUGCAUUCGAUACUGGGAAGCUAGAGUAUGGGAGAGGAUGGUAGAAUUCCAGGUGUAGCGAUGAAAUGCGUAGAGAUCUGGAGGAAUACCGAUGGCGAAGGCAGCCAUCUGGCCUAAUACUGACGCUGAGGUACGAAAGCAUGGGGAGCAAACAGGAUUAGAUACCCCUGUAGUCCCUGUCUCUUAUAA